UGCCGUUCAAAUAACUAUUAUUAAAAUACCAUUAAUAUAAGAAUUAGGUUAAAUAUAACAUGUAUGGAAGAAAUUGUUUAGGUAGGACAAUUUGGUACGCAUUAAAUUUAAUAUUUAAAUAUUAUUUAAUUUUUCAGUAUAAAAUAUUGUUUUAUAAUUAAAUACACUAUUCCAUAAGCUACAUACAAAAUUUAAACAUGAAGAACACUCAUUAGAUGAAAAAUACAUUACAAAAUUUGAGAUAUAGGUACAUGACAUUCGUACUUAAUCAUUUUUGCCCUCACAACUAUGCAUAUUGUAUAAAUCACAAUACUUUGUUUUCAUUGUCUGUUAUUAUUGUCACAUAUUAUAAAGAUAAUUUUACUUAUUUACAAAUCACUUAAAACAAAAAAAAUUUAGGUAUAGUAACUAAAAAAUAAAAAUAAAUUAUAAUAGAAUUUUUAAAAAUUAAAAUCCUAUUGCUAUAAAUAAACAAAAAAUUAUUAAAAUAUGAAUUAAAAAUUAAUGUCUUUAGUGUAAUACAAAAAAUAAAAAACAUAAAUAGGUAAUGUAAAAAUUGUUUGUAUGCUAUUAAAAUUUUAAAAGGAUUCAUGACUUUUAGCAUUUGUUUGAUUUAAAUUUAUAUUUAAUCUUAAGUUUCAUAUGUUUCACUUCAUUGUUAGCUGGUAAAUAUCUAAGGCUGUUUUCUAAUUUCUGCUGUCUUGAUAAUAUGUGUAUGGUUGUUGCAUAUUUUUAUACAACUCAUUAAACCUUUCUGUAGAAAAUAAUAAAAGUUUGAAUUUAUCAAUAUGAAACAAUAAUAAUACAAAUAAAUCAAUUCCAAAUGUAAAUUUUGGUACUUUUUUGUUAUUGCCCUGCUAGUGUCUAAAUUUGAAAGCUGAUUAAUAUAAUAACACAACUACCCAAAUUUAUAUAUUGAUGAGUAAACUAAAUUCAUUCUUAAAUAACAUAUUGUAAUUUUUAUAUUAUAUAUUUAAAAAAUUAUUUUAAAACUAAAUUUAACUGUGUAUUUUAUACUAUUAAAGCAACAUAUAAUGUUUUAUUACAAAAAAAAUUUAACAUAAUAUAUAACAGUAAUACAAAUGUAUUGUACACCCCUAAGGCAAAAAGUACAGUUUAACAGAAUAAUAAAAAAAAUAAAAAAAAAAAAUAAAAACAUUGUCACAAUUUAUUACAUAAUUAAUUUCAAUUGAUUUAUACUAUGAAAAAAGAAGUCAAAAUCUUUAGUUUUAUUACAAUCUAUAAGCAUUAUAUCUAGAGGUUUAUAUGACUGUAAUUUUGACGGUGGUGAGUAAUGAUAGGGAUUCCAUAGUACAGAUUCAUAUUCAAAAAUUGGACAAACUAAAGUACAAUAUAAUCAUUUCUAAUUGAGCAUAACAUGUAAUAACACCAACAAAUCACAAACCCCAAUAAAAUUCCUAAAAUACAAAUUGUCAGUUCGCUUUCGACUGUUCACAACGCACGCAUUUUAAAUACUCUCAGUUUUUUUUUCUUUUUGCUCUAAAACACCUCACAUAGUUGUACUUAGUAUCAAAAAAGACAGGGAACCGACAUAGGCAUUUCUUCCUUCAACACAUCAAAUUUACUUCAACCGUUCCGGCUAAAAUUGCAAAACUUUGGUAAUUAUAAUUACUCAAUUAUAUAAUCGUUAACUCCUAUCACAGUUUUGCGCUCCCCGGCCAUUAGCCGGCGGUGGCCUUCUAUUGAAAUUACAUCAUAAGUGCGAUAAGCGCACAAUCUACGAAAAAUGAAUACAAAAAAAAAUAUCACAAAAACCAAUUCUACUUCUUAUAAUUGCACACAGGGUGACUCUAAACGAUGUAUUCGAAAAUUUGUCUGAAAACUCCGAUAAUCAUUUCGUUUUCCAGCGGAAUAAAAGUAAGAAUAAGCGUAAUCUCUCAACUAGAGAAUCUCCCAAAACAAAAAAUAAUAUUAAACCUCUAAUCGCAACUACAAAUAGAUUUUCAUAUCUUACUGUUGAUGCAGUAGACAUUACACUUAACAAUCCGACCAAAUUCCUGUCAAUGAUGAGGUCAUAACUCCGUCACCACCACCAAUAAUAGUCAACGGCACAAUUGACUGUAGGUUUCCGAUCAAAAUUAAUCGAAUUAAUUGUUACAGAAAAUUUCCUAUUCAAAUCCUCCUCAAAUAGUUUAAAAAAUUACAACGAAAAACUCCGACUCGUAUAGAACGGUUAUAAAAUUCUUGAAUGACGAAGGUGCUGAAUAUUACACCUACUUACAGCGCGAAAACAAAGCGUUUUGUAUAGUAAUUCGAAAUCUCCACUCUUCUACUCCAACAAAUGAAAUUGGAAUCGCAAUUCAAGAAUUAGGUUUCACGGUUCGAAAAGUACUAAACGUCCGACAUCAGAUCACUAAACUUGCUCUACCGAUAUUCUUUGUAGAUAUUGAACCUGCCCAGAUAAACAAAGAUAUAUUUCAUAUAACAUCUAUUCUCCACACCUAGAUAAAGAUUGAAGAGCCGUCGUAAAAUAAUACAAUAUUUAAAUUGUCAAAAAUAUGGACAUUCAAAAAGCUAUUGCUCACACCCACCUCGCUGUAUUCGACUUGUCCUCCUUGUGUACCAAAACUAACGAUUAACCUCCAACGUGCGCUCUCUGUGGCGGAAAUCACCUGGCAAACUACCGCAGAUGUACAGUCCACAAAGAUAUACAAAAAUUCCAUAGUGGCUCAAAAACCAGGUUUAAAAAUAAUGUGAACCCAACUAUCUCUGUAAAUGGAGGAAAAGAUUCUGUUGAUGAAAUACCCUCAGAUCCGCCGAAUUGUAAUCUCAAUGACAUCAAAACAUUCCUAAACCUUCCUCAUAAUCAUACUUAAAACAUAAUCCCAAAUAAAAAUUAGCAUAAACUCGGCUCAUUCCCAGAAAAUAACUUAACAUCUCAACUUUCAUCCUUUAUAACAGAACUAAAAUCAAUAAUUAAUCCUCUAAUUCAACUUCUCACAACUGUCAUAAACCAAUUGAUUCAAAAAAAUGACAAAUAGACAAACAAACAUAAAUUCUCUCAACAUAUUCUUCUGGAAUGCAAAUGGGCUUAAACGACAUGAACCAAAUUAUUAAACCUUUUUAUUGGAAAACAUAUCGACAUCGCUUUAAUCUCCGAAACACACUGUACCCCAAUCUCCAAAAAUUUCUUUCCUGGAUACAGAAUAUACAGAACUGAUCAUCCCGAUGGUACUGCUCAUGGCAGAUUUGCUAUCAUAAUAUCAUCAAAAAUACAAAGUCAACCCUUACCUAAUCUCCAGACAAAUACCAUCCGUCUUAUAGCUACAGCCCCUUGGUACAUAACAAACAAAGCGCUACACAAAGACCUACGAUUUGAUACCGUUUACCAACUAGCCAAAAAAUGCUACACCAAAUUCCAUACAAAACUACAGCACCAUCCAAAACCUCUCAUCCAGCACUUAUCUUCAGUUACACUCCCUGAACCCCCCCCCCACCGUCUCAAAAGACGUUGGUGUCGAGAUCUAUUAAACUAAUUUAAAUUUUGCGUUCUGCAGGGUUCUAUCAUUGGAUAUCCUCCCUCAUCAAGCUACCAUGUUAUUGUUAUUUAUUUUAUGUACAAAGUUAUUAUAUUUACUUAUUGUGUUUUUUUUUUUGUGAAUACAGAUUGUAAGUUUUAAAUUAAAAAAAAAAAAAAAAAUACAAAUUUUAAAUUGAGGUUAGCAAGUUUCAUUAAUAAAAGUCAUAACAUAAUUUUAUAUACUAAUGAUUUAAUAGUAUACAAAUACAUUUUACACUAUUAACAUUUUUUUUUUUAUAGGACACUAAGACUGUUAAAUUUUUAAUUCAUCUCUUAAUUUUGUUCAUUUAGGUACUUAAACAAUAACUGUUUUAAUUUUUAAAAAACUAAUCAGUAACACUAAAGUACAUUAUUUGUUAAUGUCAUAAAUAUCUUUAUAAUAUGGGACGUAAAAAAUAACAGACAAUGAAAACAAAGUAUUAUGAUUUAUUUAUUUAAUAGAUUGUGAAAGUGGAAAUGAUUAUGUAUGAAUGUGAUGUGUAUCUCAAAUUUUGUAUUUUUUUUAUUUUCAUCUAAUGAGUGUUCUUCAUGUUUAAAUGUUGUAUGUAGCAUAAUAUGGAAUAAUGUAUUAUUAUUAUUUAUGAAACAAUAGUUUAUAUCCUGAAAUAAUAAUUUGAUAUUAAAUUUAAUAUUUAUUUAUUUGGCAGGUACUGAAAUAGUAGAAAUACAUACCUAUUAUCAACAAAUAAUACUAUGACCUACAUUAUUUAAAAAUUAAACUGAUAUUCAUGUUCAAUAUUCUAUAACGAGAAAUGAUGAUGAAAUUUAGUUUUAAUCAUUUUCUCUGUUGACAAUGAAACUAAACGUCAAAAUUUAGUAAGUUGA
rnacentral:lncRNA from 1 species